AAACACUGCUAGGAAGCGUGCCGGAAGGAUCCAUGGACUACAGUCUACAGUGCACCAUAGUUAAAUUAGACCAUGGGACUAGCUAGGAUGGUGAUUGUUGGCUGCAAACGAUCCAAUAAAUAGAGUCGAAGAGGGCACCAACUCUCACAAGACCGAUCCAAGAGAAUCAAAUUCAGGCCAUGGCGUCAAGAACCCAGUUCCUCCUAUGCGUGCUCGUUGCUUUGUUCCUCACCGUCGCCUCUGAGGUCGCUGCUGCAAGGAAGCUAGGUGGCACGGGUGACUACAGUGGAACGUGGCCAGGGGGAGCUUACCACAAGCCACCAUAAAAUUGGAGUUUGCAUCCUACUUAUGACGUGGAGGUCUACAAACUUAUUCCCUUCGAUAUAUGCUUGGUGAAAUCGUUGGUUCUAUGGUAUAUCAAGGUUCCUACAUACUAUGCAUAGUACCUUAAAAAAGUUUCUAAAUGCAAGUUAAAAGAUCGAGUGAAAUUGUCUCUUCACAGACAGACUCUUUGUUGUUGGGAUUCACACGUGACAUGUACUAUGGCUGUAUGUAAUGGAUCUGAUCAAUCAAUCAAGCUUGGUGGCAGAUAA